ensembl:lncRNA
AGUGUGUGUGUGGGGUACUGGCUUCUAGACAGAGUAAGUGGAAAACCUGAUUCAUUCUGUGCCUUUUCUAGCCCCUGAAAAUCCUUUUUUGCCUUCUGUUCUGAUGGUCUUCGUUUCCCUUUUCUUCAAAGACUGUCUUUUCCUACUUUGUGAGUGCAGAUUCUGACCUCAUCCAACCCAGCUUUGUGGAUAGGAGCUGGGCUGUGAAGAUAGGUUAGUUGUGUAAGACAACAGACAACUCCUGCCAUCCAUGGUUAUGAACACACACAGGAGACUGACUUCCUGGCAUGGGCUAGAUGACCGCUUACACAAUGGUGGGAAAGUGGUAUGAAGUGUAGUGAUAAAAGUGGGGGGCAGCAUUGUGAGCCAUGGGCCAAUGGAUCUCGCACAGUGGGGAGCUCAGCUGGAGCAGAUCCUAAUGGAGGUUUUUGUUGUUAGUUUUGUGGACACAAGGUUUCUCUGUGUAGUCCUGGCUGUCCUGGAACUUGCUCUGUAGUCCAUACUGGCCUCAAAGGGAGGUAGGGAAGGUUCUAGGCAGAAGGAGCACAGUAAUUAGCAUGAGGAUCUAUGACUUCCAGGUGAAUGAGUGUGACAGUCUGAAUCACAGGGAGAUGGACCAGAACCUGAUGGUGGAGGAACCUGAAGGCAGUGUCAAGAGAACUCUCUUGUCUGUGGCAACAGCUGUGGUUUCCUUUGACUUAGAUCCCUAUGUUUAAAAAGAAAAAGUUAUGUGUCAGAACAAACGUGAUAUUUAAAUGCAAAGAUUGGAGAUACUGAGCCUUUUCAUAUUGAUAUUAAUAAUUCCUUUUAGAAAAACAGAGCAAGAGUUCUGAAACUUUUAAAAACCAAUUUGAAUCCUGCAUAUUCGUAGCGGCUUGCCAUUGAUGAUCUCCACUGGAUGCAUGUGGCUGAAGAAGAGUACUGACCAGUGAGACCUGAGACCUUUGUUCCAAGAGACAUUUGCUCCUAAACAUGGGAGCAAUUAGAAGCAAGGUGACUGCACAGGAAUUAGGUCUUAGGUUCCUGCUCUUAUACAGGUAUUAAACACUCGUAGCCUGGUUUUCAAAGUCCAGCCUUCCUUAUCUUGAUAAUCUUAAGAGUGAAAUAACAGCUUAUUUCUGUUGAUAAUUCCCUUGAAUGGGGGAAGCAAACAGGCCAUGUGUUUCCUUGGUAGCACUUCUGGUAAAGACAAGAACAAGGAUUAUUUGUUCAUCCCACCUGCAUCCUCUACAUCAUUGUGGUGUGGCUGGCUGAUCUAUAAUGCUCGGCUAAUUGUAUGGUUUGAGAUUUAACUCCUGUCUGUUGCAUUCUGGCAGCUGGCAGACUCUGAGCUAGAACAAGUGAUGACUAAGCAAUUUCUCGUUUUACCCGGAC